rnacentral:sRNA from 1 species
CUCUCAAUCUACUACAAGCCUUUCAAAUACUUUUUAAAGACUUUUCAGUCAAACCACUACCAACUUUCACAAUGUCUCCCUGCGCAUGCAACUGCUGCUCCGGCAACUGCAACUCUUGCUCUUGCAGCUCGUGCAAGGUAUGUCUUCUUCUCUUCAAA